GAACCACGUGGUUAGAAACGAAGGAAGGAGGCUCUCCAGAGGGGGGAUGGGUGGUCUAUGGGACAACAGAUGCCUGUUAAAGUCAUGAGGUGAGCCCCUCACCACAUGCUAGGCUCUACGGGCCCUAAGGCAAAAUCCUCUUCCGGAGGAGCCACAUCAGGGACGUAGCUGUGAAGAGGCUGAAGCCCAUCGACGAGUAUUGCCGGGCCCUUGUCCGGCUGCCGCCCCAUAUUUCACAGUGUGAUGAAGUCUUUCGGUUCUUUGAGGCCCGACCGGAGGAUGUCAACCCCCCCAAAGAGGCCUGCAGGGGAGGAUGUCAGGCAAGACAGGUGAAGGAGAGACUACGGCAGUUCCAAGAGGAAAUCAGAAGAUUCAAGAAGUUAAUGCAGAAAAGUCCCUCAUACACAAUAACUGCUGUAGAAUCAUGAAAUUUAUUGUCAUCAUCAUCACUUUCUGAAGCCCUGGGACCUCAGUCCUGUCAGCUGACCUGUCCUGCUGGAGUGAUGGGAAGAUGGCCUGGAAGGGGACAGCAUGUGCUAAGGUCCAGGGGUGUGCUGAGAGUCCUGAGCCCGCUUGUUGAAGCACAGAUUCCUAGACCCAGAUCUACCAAAUGAGCAGCUCUGGGUAUGGCACCCAGAAACACCAGCCAGCUUUGAUGGGCUCCCCAGGGGAAGAGACGCCUGCAUUGUGGUCCAGCAAAUCCCCACUUGGGCAUUUUGGUUUAUAAACAUGUGACAAAAGAGGCAACAUUUCCAGUAACGACAAAGCCAAUGGAAAAACAAAGAUUCGGGGGAAAUGUGCGUUA